rnacentral:RNase_P_RNA from 1 species
CCAGUCGGCCGGGCGGCCGCUCCCUCGCGGGAGAGGAAAGUCCGGGCUCCACGGAGACACGGCGCCGGAUAACGUCCGGCGGGGGCGACCCAGGGAAAGCGCCACAGAAAGCAAACCGCCCGGCGCGCGAGCGUCCGGGUCAGGGUGAAAGGGUGCGGUAAGAGCGCACCGCACGUCCAGCAAUGGGCGUGGCAUGGCAAGCCGCCGGGAGCAAGACCGAAUAGGGACGGCAGGGGCGAAAGCCCCGGAUCCUGUCUCCGGAUCGCCGUCCGGGUUGGUCGCUAGAGGCGUCGCGCAAGCGUCGUCCCAGAGGAAUGGCCGCCACGUUUCGGGGGCGACCCCGAGGCCAUACAGAACCCGGCUUACAGGCCGACUGGACCU